rnacentral:sRNA from 1 species
UGUUUCGGUUCGAUCGGGAUACUCAUCAAAUUAUUUUGAAAACCGAGAUUGCUUCUUUAGCUCAUGGCGGGCCACAUUAUCGUUAUACGGUAUAGCUGAAAAGCCAGUGGAUUACAAAGGCGAAGAGCGCUCACAACUUUAAUAGCUGGAGUUUUCAUCACAUCAUCGUA